GACGAACACUGGCGGCGUGCUUAACACAUGCAAGUCGAACGGUGACCCACCUUCGGGUGGCGAUCAGUGGCGAACGGGUGAGUAACACGUGGGCAACCUGCCCCUGACUCUGGGAUAACUCCUCGAAAGAGGUGCUAAUACCGGAUACCACCUCCCUCGGCAUCGGGGGGGGUUGAAAGUUUUUCGGUCAGGGAUGGGCCCGCGGCCUAUCAGCUAGUUGGUGAGGUAACGGCCCACCAAGGCGACGACGGGUAGCCAGCCUGAGAGGGCGACCGGACACACUGGGACUGAGAGACGGCCCAGACUCCUACGGGAGGAAGUAGUGGGGAAUAUUGCGCAAUGGGCGAAAGCCUGACGCAGCAACGCCGCGUGAGGGAUGACGGCCUUCGGGUUGUAAACCUCUUUCAGCAGGGACGAAGCGAAAGUGACUGUACCUGCAGAAGAAGCGCCGGCUAACUACGUGCCAGCCGCCGCAGUAACAC
rnacentral:rRNA from 1 species